AGAGGUCUGCAGUGAGAAGCUGAAGGGGAGAGGUCUGCAGUGAAGCUGAAGGGGAGAGGUCUGCAGUGAAGCUGAAGGGGAGAGGUCUGCAGUGAGAAGCUGAAGGGGAGAGGUUUGCAGUGAGAAGCUGAAGGGGAGAGGUCUGCAGUGAGAAGCUGAAGGAGAGAGGUCUGCAGUGAUGCUGAAGGGGAGAGGUCUGCAGUGAGAAGCUGAAGGGGAGAGGUCUGCAGUGAGAAGCUGAAGGAGAGAGGUCUGCAGUGAAGCUGAAGGGGAGAGGUCUGCAGUGAGAAGCUGAAGGGGAGAGGUCUGCAGUGAGAAGCUGAAGGGGAGAGGUCUGCAGUGAGAAGCGGAAGGAGAGAGGUCUGCAGUGAGAAGCUGAAGGGCUUUUGCAGACUCCGCUGGUGCAGGUGUUGCUUUUUGUCUUCAGCAGUGGGGCCACCUUUCCUGUCAGUACAGGGAGGACACUGUUGGUCUUGCUUCACAGUAGAGGACCAUAGCAUCCUCUUUUGUUUUACUAUUAGGGAAAAGGUGAGAAGGUCAGGGGCUUGUCUUUGUUGCCAAGGGGCUAUACUUUGAGGGCCACGUGACCAGGACUCCAUCCACUGUGUAUUAUCUCAAGGACUGCUUUGUGUCAUUAAGCUACAAUGCAGUAGACACACUAGCAGUGGUGUACGCAAAUUCAACUCCUUUUCUGUAAGGCAGUGAAUUUGUGAUUUGGAUAGAGAUCAGCAAAAUCAAUAGUAGCUUAAUUAUUAUUCAGAUUUAGCUGAGCAAGAAGACCAUAAAUCCAAAUAAGAUUUAGAGUUAUAUUUUAUCUUAGAAGGCUGAGAAAAAACAUAAAAAAUUCAGUGCCCUGAAUUGUAAAGGUCUAGGAAUGUAACUAGUGCAGUUGCAGUGCGUAUCCAGCAAGAGCAAGACCCUGAUUCUAUGUCCAAUUAGGAGAAGACUACAAUAAUAAGACAAAUCGAAACCUUUUAAUAGAGUGGGUUGCAGCCCAGUUGGUAAAGUGCUGGCCUAGCGUCUUAACUUUGCGCUUCUAUUGGUCUGAUCAAACACCAUGACCAAAAGCAACUUGGAAAGGAGAGAGUGUAUUUCAGCUCAUAGUUAUAUGCCAGAGUCUGUCACUGAGGGAAGUCAGGGCAGGAACUCAGAGUAGGAGCCUGGAGACAGGAGCUGAGGCAGAUGCUAGGGAGGGUGCAGCAUGCUCACUCAUUCCCUCCUCAUGACUCACUCAGCCUGCUUUCCUGUAGCACCCAGGUUCACCAGCUCAGAGGGCACGACCUACAGUGGGCUGGGCCCGCCCUGCCAAUUGUUAAUCAGGAAAGUCCCCCACAGACUUUCCCUCAGGCCAGCCUUGUGGGGAUAUUUUCUCAAUUGAGGUUCCUUUUUCAAAAAUGACUCUUGCUUGUGUUAAGUUGACACAAAGCAAGCCAACAACUCUAGUGUUUAGAAAGCCUGGGUUUAAUCCCCAGGUACGGUCUGAGUUUCUGGUACUUGAGAGGAGGAAGCAGGAGGAUCUGAAGUGUAAGAUUAUUCCCAGUCACUUAGUGAUUUAAGGCCAGCCUGGGCUACUUGGGACCCCUUCUUAAACGGAAGAAAGACAUCUAAGUCUUUAGAGUAUGCUUGAUUUUUAAUUUGUUUGUAACUUAACAGUUAGUAAACUCAUUUUACUUGCCGUAUUCCAUAUUUAAAUUAGCCACUAGAUAAUGUAUGUCUCUGCCACUAACAGAGCUGGCUGGUGGCUGGCAGACCUCUGGACUUGGGGACCACCCAAGACCAAGAAGCAAAGCUGUGAAAGACCAACCUAUUUGAGGAGGAGGGAGAAGAGAAAGAUGUGUGUACGUGUGUGUGUGUGUGUGUGUGUGUGUGUGUGUGUGUGUAUGUGUUGAGUGGAGGGGCCCUUGCACAUGUUUGUGUGUGGUCUGGCUCAGCUGAUGGGUGCUCCUGGGGUCCACCUAGAUCUGCCCCCAAUGCUGGGAUACUGAUGUGUGUGGCUAUAUCUGGAUCUUUUAAACAUGAGAUCUGGGGAUUUGAACUCAAGUCCUCAUGUUUAUGUAGCAAGUCUUUUUUCCUCACCUAGCCAUUUUGUCGUCACUGUCCUGUGGAUUUUUAAUGCAUGAUUUGUGU